GAUGAAGAACGCAGUGAAAUGCGAUAAGUAAUGCGAAUUGCAGAAUUCCAGUGAGUCAUCGAAUCUUUGAACGCACAUUGCGCCCCCUGGUAUUCCGGGGGGCAUGCCUGUCCGAGCGUCAUUGCUGCCCUCAAGCACGGCUUGUGUGUUGGGCCUCCGUCCUCCUCCCGGGGGACGGGCCCGAAAGGCAGCGGCGGCACCGCGUCCGGUCCUCGAGCGUAUGGGGCUUCGUCACCCGCUCUUGUAGGCCCGGCCGGCGCUUGCCGACACAUCAAUCUUUUUUCCAGGUUGACCUCGGAUCAGGUAGGGAUACCCGCUGAACUUAAGCAUAUCAAUAAGCGGAGGA
rnacentral:misc_RNA from 1 species